UACAGAGGUCCCGAGCGUUGUUCGGAUUCACUGGGCGUAAAGGGUGCGUAGGUGGUGGAGUAAGUUUGAUGUGAAAUCUCCGGGCUCAACCCGGAGGAGUCGGCCGAAACUGGUUUUCUUGAGGGAGGCAGAGGAGUCUGGAAUUCCCGGUGUAGCGGUGAAAUGUGUAGAGAUCGGGAGGAACACCGGUGGCGAAGGCGGGACUCUGGGCCUACCCUGACGCUGAGGCGCGAAGGCGUGGGGAGCAAACGGG
rnacentral:rRNA from 1 species